UUAGAUUACUCUGGAGAGUUCCUGAAUUCAGGACGCCGAAGGUGUACGGCAGAGAACGAGCUGCCAAUCUCUCAGGCAAAAGGACAGAGCAUAUGUA
rfam:Blautia hydrogenotrophica CAG:147 genomic scaffold, scf439